AUUGAACGCUGGCGGCAGGCUUAACACAUGCAAGUCGAACGAGUGGCGGACCGGUGAGUAAUGCUUGGGAAACUCUCUUAUGGAGGGGGAUAACUACGGGAAACUGUCGCUAAUACCGCAUACCAUCAGAUGAGCCCAAGUGGGAUUAGGUAGUUGGUGGGGUAAUGGCUCACCAAGCCGACGAUCCCUAGCGGGUCUGAGAGGAUGACCAGCCACACUGGAACUGAGACACGGUCCAGACUCCUACGGGAGGCAGCAGUGGGGAAGAUUGCACAAUGGGGGCAACCUGACGCAGCCAUGCCGCGUGAAUGAAGAAGGCCUUCGGGUUGUAAAGUACUUUCGGUAGCGAGGCGUUAACUACAGAAGAAGCACCGGCUAACUACGUGCCAGCAGCCGCGGUAAUUC
rnacentral:rRNA from 1 species